AGCCACAACAACAACUAAUGAUACUUCAAUAGAACUACAAGUCUAUCGAGUUUGGUGGUGGUAUGUUGCAGUUGCAGCACUCUUAAUAACUGUUGUUAUUGUCGUUGCUCUCAUCAGAUGGAAGAAAACUAAAGGAAAAAAAACCCAGAUGGAUGAAAACAUUGUGAGUUUUACGGCUGAGUAAUCAAAUGUUUCUACAGUUAUGACAGAGCUGAAUCAGCUGCUCUCUGACAGAGUCAUCCAAAUCUAAACAGCCUUCACAGAGCCAGUGUUUGACCACAUGGAAGUAGACUCUGUUUGUUUGUUGUUUUCA